GCUUUAGUGAAGAAUUCUUAUUCGCGGUUUGUGGUUUGUCACGUUUAAAGAAAAUUUCGUUUUCGUCUUGUUGUCGUGUCAUAAAUCAUAAUUCAGUUUUUACUAUACAACGAGCACAGUAAACAAUCUAGUUAAUCACUUUUCUGUUAUCAUUUUUUGCAAUACAAUUCCUUAUUACGAUGUACUUAUUUCUAUUUUCAGAUCAGCGCUAGAAUCAAUUGGGAAGUACUUCUAACCGUCAUACUUCAAAUUCAAUCAAUUUCUGAGGAGAUAGGGGAACCGUGCAGUAGACGAUUUAAGAAUAUAGUAUGCAUAACCAUAUAGAUACCUAUAACCUAUGCAUAUGUAUAUAUACCUAUCUGUAAAAAAUAAUGUAUAUAUGUACCUAUUUGUAAAAUACCACGUUUGUGGAAAUAAUUCAAAUGUAAUAUUAUCAUAUUAUCGCAGGAGUUUGACUUUUACAUAAUAUUUCAAGUAAUCGAUCAUAUUCGCGCGAUUUCGAAACAAUGUAACAAUGCAUACAAAUAGACUUCUCCGAUAAUCUUUGCAUUACCAUGCAAGAGUAGAUAUGCAUCGGUUAUGCAUGUUGCUUCGUUAAAGCCAGUGUGGCGUGUAGCGAACGUGACAUUGUGGAAUAAAUAAAGUUAUAUAAUAUGGUAGAAUAAAUGUGCAUAUCGAUAUCGUGUCCGGCGAAUUUGCAUCCGCGCACGUGGUACUAUAUUUCGACCUUUCGCCGUAGCGCGGCGCUAUUAAAAACGAAUGGCAACCAAUUACGCGGGAAUGCAAUUGCGACCAUCUCCGUACGAAAAUGAUCGUUCUCUGCGAUAUUUCCCAGAUCCGUUCUCCGACUUUGAUAAUUGCCAGUUGGCCAAUUAUCAUUUGUAAUUCCGUCAGAGGUCGAAGCAAACCUGCUCGAAAGUAACUAUGUUACCAUGAGUGAAAUUCAGCCGUGCUUGUACGUUCGUUCUCCGUUUCUAAACUGGCAACAAACGGUUCCCUUAACGUACAGGAUAAUGAGGUCUAUCCGCGAUUCUGGUUAUCGUUGCCGAGUAUCUUAGACCUUUUCCCGAGAGGCAAAGAGCAACUAACUGACACGUAAAAAAUCCUUACCAACGUCCUUGCUUGACGGUUUUCAACCUUGUCGGGAGUAUUCCUACGCGAUUAUCCGUGUCAUCGACGAGCGAUUGACUGUGCAUGCUAGUCGCGUAUGAGUGUAUCGUAUGUGUACUAUGUAGCGUAUCGUGCAACGUGGGUGACAGUGGAGAGAGUAAUGCCUACGAAGGAGAUCUCGAAGAGGAAAGAGACAGCUAGCCUCGACGAAACGAGUAGAGUGAGAGGGGUAACGAUGUGAAAGACGAAAGGAGAGGAAUAAGGGGAGGAAAAGGGAGAGGAAGGGGGACGGAGAAACGCGUAGCAUGAAAUAAAAGGGGAGGGAGUGAACAGCUAAGGGGGGAGAGCAAAGUAGGGUGGGCGGCGACCGUUUCAAGCGGAGGAGUGCCGUAGGGGCCGAUAGGAACGAAGACCGUUGAGUUUGAGGCGAGGUGAGUGAAGCGCGGGCGUCACGACGACGUCGGUAUCGUGGCUGGCCUCCGCCAAUCCGUCCCUCAGCGGCCAUGUUGCUCGUAUACCUGGGGCGGAGCGCCAUGGUCUCUGUCUUUUUACGUUCUCCAAGCUUCUCUUCCGCUCUCUCGCUUGCUCUCCUCCUUCUUCGCAACCAACGUCGCGUCCUCGUCUUCUUGUCGUUUCUAUUCUUCUCCUUCUUUCUUUCGUUCUUUCUUCAUUCGUUUUGUUUCAUUUUUCUUCCUUCGCCUCGCUCCCUCUAUCUGGUACGCGUACCUUGUUCUUCUCGUUUGCGCUCGCGUUACACUUCUCGCAGUCGCGCUUCUUUGUAGCUCCUCUUUCUGCUCGGCCACCUUCUUCUUCUUCAGGGGUAGCCGAUCGCGCACCUGUGUGACCGGUGACGUAAUACAGCUGGUAUCUUGACCGCCAGCCGACCCUUUUCGCUUCGGUACAAGAACCGAUCGUGUCACGGUAGCGUUGAUCUUCGUGGUUUAUGAACACUCCUUAGUUCAUCAAGUCUUGGCGUUCUUUGGUUCAUUUAGUUAGAUAUUCUAUACAAACCGUUUAAAAAUUGUACGUAGAAUUAUUAUAUACAGAAUAUUCUUAAUCCUACGGAAAUCUGAUGCAAUAUUGCGGUAUGAUAGGUUAUAUAGUAUUUCCGGGACAAUUAUUUAUCUCAUAUUCUUGGCAGAAUCGUUCAUUUUCUAUCAUCAUUUUUAAAUGCUUCUCCUGCGUUCAUUUUGUAACAGAAUGAUUUGGGACGUAAUUGGGACGUAACAGGAUCAUAGAAAAGAUCUUAUAGGAGAAGAUACAAAAUGGAGAUAUAUGUAUAAACUUAAGAUUGUUUCAAUUAUUUCUGAAUACGAAACGAAUAAUAAUUGCUAUUGUGCUAUUAGUGUCAUUUUCAUGUAGAUAUCAUCCCUUUUAAUGCGAUUUUAGGUAUCCAUCUUCUAGUACAUAAGUAUGUCCUACUUAAAGUGGGAUGACUUGAAUUCAGACAAAUUUUAAAUCAAUUAACGUGUAUAAACACAAGCUGGAUAUCAAGUUGUAAGAAUUCAUCUAACUCGACUAAUCGAAACGAGGCUUAAUUGAAGAACUGUAUCCCUGAACAAGUGAUCGGUUCGCGUGGAAUCUUCCACGCGGUGGUUACUUAAACGCAUCGACUCAAUAGAAUCUGUAAGAUAUACGAGACGGAGAAACGGGAUCUGUGAAGUCGAAGUGAAUUAUUUCCAGCGUGGACACGAGCAAUUAUUAGGAUGCACACGGCCACUCGAGUUUCCCUCCGCGUCGUUCCGUCUAGGCGGCGGCGUAGCGGUUGAUUUACGCCGCGUUACUCGGCAACGUUUUCGCCUCGCAACUGGGAAAUAACAGUUCCGUACUUAACAUUUCGUUUUACGAUUACGCGAAUCGUAUGUAAUUGCUGGCUGCGAGCUCUGGCCGCCAGCGCGAUUGUAUUUCGCCUUCGAGACCGCGUCAACUGUCCUAUAGAUCUUCGCGCGGCGAAAGAGAGCCGGGAUAAUUGUACGAACGCGGGUCCCGCCGGGAAACUCUGCAAUUAUUGGUAUAGUAUAGCGUUGCUCUCGCGCGGAUGGAAUUCCUUGGCUCGUUACGAUCUUUCUUACAAAUCAAUUAGCCGAACAUGAAGAUAUCACCGAGGAAAUCGAGAACGAUCACGUUUCGUUGCACGCUUUUCUUUGAGAAUUCAUCUUUUUAAGUUGUUUGCUCUGCCGGAUAUGUGUAGGACAGAAGGUAGCAUACCAAUUUCUAAAUACUUUAUAUAUGUAAUACGUAGAUAUAUUAAAUGGUUUAUUUAUUGUUAGUAUAUUAAUUUAGACAGAUUACUAAAAUGGUUUUAUUUCUUUAUAGUAAUAGAUUAUAAGUAAAUAAUAUAAUUGUUCAAGGUGUAUAAACAUCAUUAAAUUUGUGA